GCGGGGGUAGCCAAGCGGUCAAAGGCGUAGGGAUGAGGACCCUAUCUUGUAGGAGUUCGCGCGUUCAAAUCGCGUCCCCCGCACCA
rnacentral:tRNA from 1 species